rnacentral:rRNA from 1 species
UGGGGAAUAUUGCACAAUGGGCGCAAGCCUGAUGCAGCCAUGCCGCGUGUAUGAAGAAGGCCUUCGGGUUGUAAAGUACUUUCAGCGGGGAGGAAGGUGUUGAGGUUAAUAACCUCAGCAAUUGACGUUACCCGCAGAAGAAGCACCGGCUAACUCCGUGCCAACAGCCGCGGUAAUACGGAGGGUGCAAGCGUUAAUCGGAAUUACUGGGCGUAAAGCGCACGCAGGCGGUCUGUCAAGUCGGAUGUGAAAUCCCCGGGCUCAACCUGGGAACUGCAUUCGAAACUGGCAGGCUAGAGUCUUGUAGAGGGGGGUAGAAUUCCAGGUGUAGCGGUGAAAUGCGUAGAGAUCUGGAGGAAUACCGGUGGCGAAGGCGGCCCCCUGGACAAAGACUGACGCUCAGGUGCGAAAGCGUGGGGAGCAAACA